UAUCAAAACUGCAGCCACCUUCAAGUUCUAGAACGCGUGCCAGUCCUCGCCAUUGUCUGCUCUGCCCUCUCGAAGGUCAAGCCAGUCGUCGUCGUUGGCCCUGAUUUGCUGAUUUUUCUGAUUUUGUGAAGUUUGGUUCGCUUAUGGCUCUCACCGGCGCGCCUCAACUCAGUCGUGGACUUCUCUCAUCGCCGUCGCUCACGCAUGUUUGCUUCUCGUCGGUGUUUUUUUUGCUUCGUCUCUGUUCUCUCUCUUUCUCGUAGCUUAGUCAUUGUCACCGUUGGUAAGCCUCCAUCCCUCCACUGCUUCUUCAAUUUUAUUUUUCGAAGUUAAUUACUAUUUUUCUGGAUUUAAUUAUGUUGAUUGUUGAUUUUUUUUCUGGGUUAAUUAGUUGUUUUCUGAGUUAAUUUUCUUUGUUGUUCAUUGUUGUUAACAGAGCUGGAUUGUUGUUGUUUUGUUCUGACCUCUGGUUAAUUAUUGUUGAUUAUUGGUAAUUUUCUAAGUUAUUUUUGUGUUAUUUUUUCUAAUUCUGAGUUAAUUUACUAGUUGUUGGCUUGUUGCCAAGUAAAAUUAGUUAAACUUAAAAAA